AAAAAGGUUUUUUUUAAAACCAUCCUAAGUCCUAAUGGCACCUUA
rfam:Chaetura pelagica isolate M959 contig55670, whole genome shotgun sequence.